GCUGUGAUGGCCGAGUGGUUAAGGUGUUGGAUUAGAAAUCCCAUUGGGUUUCCCUGCACAGGUUCAAAUCCUGCUCACAGCG